rnacentral:lncRNA from 1 species
GUUCGUUUCAUUUCACAUGACCUUUAGAUUUAAAAAGUAUAUAAAUGCAGGUUUUAGAAAAUGAAAUACUUAAAAGAUUGAUAUAACUUUGUGUUUUGUUUUUAUACAUAAGAUAUAAAAUUGUAUGUGUAAUUAAGCUAAAAAAAAAAUCAAAAUGUUGUAAAAAAAAAAUUGACCAUAGGCACUUGAACUGUAAUGAGUGUUGCUAUUUCUACCCCCCGGCCUAUUUUUCUGUUCACCUUAUUUUUCCACCGACCAUGUAAAUUUCAAAAAAUACAAUCCUAUCUUUUCACCCACCAUAAGAAGUGGAAAGGUGUUUGUCACCUCUUCAGAAAUGACAUAUCUGUAAUCAUAUUAUAACCAAUCCCCCCGUAUAACAAAUUAUACCAUGUAUUAGUUAAUACUCGUGUUUUGAAUUUUAAAAUACCAGUAAUUUUUUAAAUUCUUGAAAUGUG